UUCUUUAUGAUGAUAACUUUGAUAGGGACAUCUGAUGUCUAUGACUGAUCUAUCAUGUUUUUUACAUUCUGAAUAU